AGUGAACGCUGGCGGUAGGCCUAACACAUGCAAGUCGAACGGCAGCACAGUAAGAGCUUGCUCUUACGGGUGGCGAGUGGCGGACGGGUGAGGAAUACAUCGGAAUCUACUUUUUCGUGGGGGAUAACGUAGGGAAACUUACGCUAAUACCGCAUACGACCUACGGGUGAAAGCAGGGGAUCUUCGGACCUUGCGCGAUUGAAUGAGCCGAUGUCGGAUUAGCUAGUUGGCGGGGUAAGGGCCCACCAAGGCGACGAUCCGUAGCUGGUCUGAGAGGAUGAUCAGCCACACUGGAACUGAGACACGGUCCAGACUCCUACGGGAGGCAGCAGUGGGGAAUAUUGGACAAUGGGCGCAAGCCUGAUCCAGCCAUACCGCGUGGGUGAAGAAGGCCUUCGGGUUGUAAAGCCCUUUUGUUGGGAAAGAAAAGCAGUAGGUUAAUACCCCGCUGUUCUGACGGUACCCAAAGAAUAAGCACCGGCUAACUUCGUG
rnacentral:rRNA from 1 species